rnacentral:rRNA from 1 species
CCUACGGUGGCAGCAGUGGGGAAUCUUCCGCAAUGGGCGCAAGCCUGACGGAGCAAUGCCGCGUGAGUGAAGAAGGCCUUCGGGUCGUAAAGCUCUGUCCUAAGGGAAGAUAAUGACGGUACCUUAGGAGGAAGCCCCGGCUAACUACGUGCCAGCAGCCGCGGUAAUACGUAGGGGGCGAGCGUUGUCCGGAAUUACUGGGCGUAAAGGGUGCGUAGGCGGUCAUGUAAGUCAGAUGUGAAAGCCCUCGGCUUAACCGAGGUAAGCAUUUGAAACUGCAUAACUUGAGUGCAGGAGAGGAGAGUGGAAUUCCUAGUGUAGCGGUGAAAUGCGUAGAUAUUAGGAAGAACACCAGUGGCGAAGGCGACUCUCUGGACUGUAACUGACGCUGAGGCACGAAAGCGUGGGGAGCGAACAGGAUUAGAUACCCCUGUAGUC